rnacentral:pre_miRNA from 1 species
GAAGAGUGAUGCUGAGAACACAUGUGGAUUACUGGAUGCAUUAGUCCACUUGUGUUCUCAGGUCACCCCUC